ACACAUCAACUCUCAUGGCUUGCCAUGAUGAGCUUGGACUUUGGGGGUCUUGCUGGCCAGUGGUCGGCUCCUCUCAAAUGAAUCAGCUUGCCAGUGUUUGGCGGCACCACAGGUGUGAUAACUAUCUACGCUCGUGGUUUCCUGCCAGGCAUCCUUCAGCGAUGGAGGUUCACUGGAGCUCAUAAACGUCUCUCCAUGGCGAGGACAACUUCUUGAAC
rnacentral:misc_RNA from 1 species